rnacentral:sRNA from 1 species
AACUUGCCUUUGCGUUAGGGAUUGAAACGACAUCCUUUUUUUAUUUUUCAUAAAAAAAGAUAUAGUGUAAAGCCCGUUAAAAC